rnacentral:lncRNA from 1 species
CACUAUGUUCAUGAGUUCCUUCACUUUGAAGUCAGAAGUCAGAAGUAAUAAGGGAUUUUGUUUUGGUUUUGUGGAAUUCAUGUCAUUGGAUUCCAUGCAUAGUGCUAUAAAGCAACUGUUAGUUUGAAUCCAAUGAUUCGAACAAUGGUUCCACCUCCGUUUCAGCAGAUGGCACCUGCACCAUGGCUUCCACCAUCACCACCAGUGAUCCGGACAAUGGUUCCACCUCCACUUAGCAGAUGGCACCUGCACCAUGGUUUCCACCAUCACCACCAGUGACUAGCGUUUUUUGGAACACCACAAAUGUGCAAGGUUGCCUGAAGGAACUCCGAAACACUUGAUCUUGCAGAAGCAAUGGAGAAAGAGUUGGAGAGGCUUAUUGCAAUGAAAGGUACCGAGCAGCAUAUUGAAGGAACAUAUGAUAAAGCUAAUGAAACUGCAACUGGAAGGCUUUUGAAGUUUUUAGAGAAUAACAGGAUAUCAUUGGAUACUAAAGAGAAAAUCUCACUGGAAGCAGCUAACGGUUUGAUGGUGAAGCUAAAAAACAAUCUUGAACCAUUUAAGGUUAUAACCGAGGAUAAAACGCCAUGGGAGAAGUCUGGAGCAGUGUGACUGUCGAAUAAAAUGCAAAAGCACAAAAGAAACAAACUUUGGCGGAAAAGAAAGAGACAACACGCUGGGGAAAUGCUUGCAAAAGAACACGAGCGAUUUAACCAAGUUGAUCAAGAAGGUAAUGAAUGGAGGGCUAGGGAAAUUGCAAAGGAAACCGCUAAGCGUAAGGUCGAGAAAAUGAAGGAAAUUGCAAAACAAAAGGCUAACGAGGAGAUAAGGAGAUAAGAAUCUGAGCUUGAGCUACUGUUGAUCGUGGAGAAGUUGCAAGAACUACAGUCCAUCAGUCAGAAAUUAACAAAACAAGAAACGCUUUCAAAAUGAUGAUCCUUUUAUGCCCAUGGAUGUUCCUUUUGGAAGCAUAUUUCUCCAAGAUCAAUUUAGCGCACCAAGAGGACUCAUGAUGCCUCCUUUUAUUCCAACUAAGGCUUUGAAGCUGUUGGGCCUCCUGAAGCUUUAUAGUGUUCAGUCUGUGAACAUUGGGAUGUCGAUGAUGUAUUCAAGACCUGGAUAUGUUUGGUGUUUCAUGUUUUUAAAUAAAUGUGUUUUUUACAAAGAUUUUUUAUUACUUAAAGAGGGGUAAUGUUCUAGAUAUGUUAGUUUUGUAAAUAAAUGUUCUUGCUACAUAUAGUCGACUGGACAAAGCUGUAAUGAAUCAUAUGGGGUAUGUACAAUAAGGAGGUUUCACACAUCAAAAGUACAUUUUCGGAUGUUAAGAACACUUCAUUAUGUUUACAUUACGUGUAAUGAUUGGCUUAAUCUAUACAUUUAUUUAGAACAGUUAAUUUUAAAAUUUAU